AAAGAAUUUGAUUCUAGUUUUUAUAGAUAGUUGAUAAUUGAAAUUACAUGUUUAUUUUGGUGAGUUGGGAUUUACCUUUAAAAAAGGUUGAAAUGGCUCGUAUUUAACUCGCAGUUUAUACUAUUACUUAUUUCACUUUUGUGAGAGUUAGGUUAAUUAUCUUGGGUUGGCUAAGGUUGUGCCAGCAGCUGCGGUUAUACAUCUGACACAAAUUAUCUAAUUUAGGUUAAUUAUAUUAAUAAUUGUAUUAUAUUGACUUUAUUGUUUUAUAUUGUUAGGUGAAAUUUUAUUUUAUUAUUUUAAGUUUGGUAAUUGAUUAUAUAAAACUCUUGUUUGAGACUAGGAUUAGAUACCCUAUUAUUUUGAGUGUAAUAUUGAAACUUUAGUAUUAUAAGUUAUGAUCUUUAAAUUAAAAGAAUUUGACGGUAAUUUAGUCUUUUCAGAGGAACCUGUUCUUUAAUUGAUAAUCCACGAUAAAUUUUACCUUAGAUAUUUCCAUAUGCUUGUAUACCUCUGUUUAUUGAGUGUUUUAUUAGAAUUAUUAUUCUCUUUUAUUUUUAUGUUAAAUAUAUAUCAAGUCAAGGUGCAGCUUUACUAAGGAUGAAAUGGGUUACUUUAAUGUUUAAAUUUUUGGAAUAAAUAGCGAAUUUCUAUUUAUGAAAUUGGAUUUGAUUGUAAUUGUUAUUAUAUAUUAAUAGUGAUUAAUGCUCUGGAUUAAGUACAUAUCGCCCGUCACUCUCAUUAUUUAAAAUGAGAUAAGUCGUAACAAAGUAGGUUUACCGGAAGGUGUGCCUAGAAUUAA
rnacentral:ncRNA from 1 species